GCCAGGCGUGGUGGCUGACGCCUGUAAUCCCAGCUACUUGGGAGGCUGAGGCAGGAGAAUUGCUUGAACCCGGGAGGCGGAGGUUGUAGUGAGCCGAGAUUGUGCCACUGCACUCCAGCCUGGGUAGCAGAGCAAGAUUCUGUCUCAA
rnacentral:SRP_RNA from 1 species